AUUGAACGCUAGCGGCAGGCCUAACACAUGCAAGUCGAACGAGUGGCGGACGGGUGAGUAAUGUCUGGGAAACUGCCCGAUGGCGGGGGAUAACUACUGGAAACGGUAGCUAAUACCGCAUACCAUCGGAUGUGCCCAUAUGGGAUUAGCUAGUUGGUGGGGUAACGGCUCACCUAGGCGACGAUCCGUAGCUGGUCUGAGAGGAUGACCAGCCACACUGGAACUGAGACACGGCCCAGACUCCUACGGGAGGCAGCAGUGGGGAAUAUUGCACAAUGGGCGCAAGCCUGAUGCAGCCAUGCCGCGUGUAUGAAGAAGGCCUUCGGGUUGUAAAGUACUUUCAGUGAGGAGGCGUUACUCGCAGAAGAAGCACCGGCUAACUCCGUGCCAGCCGCCGCGGUAAUAC
rnacentral:rRNA from 1 species